rnacentral:rRNA from 1 species
GGGCAGUGGCGGGUGCUAUACAUGCAGUCGAGCGGACAGAAGGGAGCUUGCUCCCGGAUGUUAGCGGCGGACGGGUGAGUAACACGUGGGUAACCUGCCUGUAAGACUGGGAUAACUCCGGGAAACCGGAGCUAAUACCGGAUAGUUCCUUGAACCGCAUGGUUCAAGGAUGAAAGACUUGGUUACGGCUGUCACCUUACAGAUGGACCCGCGACGCAUUAGCUAGUUGUGUCAGGUAAUGGCUCACCAAGGCGACGAUGCGUAGCCGACCUGAGAGGGUGAUCGGCCACACUGGGACUGAGACACGGCCCAGACUCCUACGGGAGGCAGCAGUACGGAAUCUUCCGCAAUGGACGAAAGUCUGACGGAGCAACGCCGCGUGAGUGAUGAAGGUUUUCGGAUCGUAAAAGCUCUGUUGUUAGGGAAGAACAAGUGCGAGAGUAACUGCUCCGCACCUUGACGGUACCUAACCAGAAAGCCACGGCUAACUACGUGCCAGCAGCCGCGGUAAUACGUAGGUGGCAAGCGUUGUCCGGAAUUAUUGGGCGUAAAGGGCUCGCAGGCGGUUUCUUAAGUCUGAUGUGAAAGCCCCCGGCUCAACCGGGGAGGGUCAUUGGAAACUGGGAAACUUGAGUGCAGAAGAGGAGAGUGGAAUUCCACGUGUAGCGGUGAAAUGCGUAGAGAUGUGGAGGAACACCAGUGGCGAAGGCGACUCUCUGGUCUGUAACUGACGCUGAGGAGCGAAAGCGUGGGGAGCGAACAGGAUUAGAUACCCUGGGUAGUCCACGCCGUAAACGAUGAGUGCUAAGUGUUAGGGGGUUUCCGCCCCCUACUGCUGCAGCUAACGCAUUAAGCACUCCGCCUGGGCGAGUACGGUCGCAAGACUGAAACUCAAACGAAAUGAACUGGAGGCGCGCCGCACAAGCCGAUGCAGCAUGUCAUAUAAUUUCAAAGCAACGCGAAGAACCCUAACCAGAUCUGGACAUCCACUGACAACCCUAAAACAUUAGGGCUUUCCCUUUCCACGUACACGAUGAAGACAGAGAAGAGUGCAUGACGUAUGUCGUCAGCUUCGUGUCCUCGAGACGUAGGAUUAAGUACCGAUCAACAACCGCUAACCCUUGAUGCUUACGUCGUGUCCAGCAUUUAGCUAGGCACUCUAAGGCACUGACAUCGACAGGCUGACAAACCGGAGGAAGGUCGGCGAUGACGUCAAAUCCAUCAUGCCGCCUUACUCCACCUGGACUACACCACGUGCUACAAUCGUAGUCAGAUACAAAGGGCCUGCGCAGACCGCAAGGUUUAGCCAAUCCCAUAAAUCUGUUCUCAGUUCGGAUCGCAGUCUGCAACUCGACUGCGUGAAGCUGGAAUCGCUAGUAAUCGCGGAUCAGCAUGCCGCGGUGAAUACGUUCCCGGGCCUUGUACACACCGCCCGUCACACCACGAGAGUUUGCAACACCCGAAGUCGGUGAGGUAACCUUUAUGGAGCCAGCCGCCGAAGCUU